rnacentral:lncRNA from 1 species
UAAAUACAGUACGCAAAAAUUAACUUCUACGGAAAGUCCAACUUAAAGGCCCACUAUGCAACUUUUUUAGCCAAAAUUACAUUAAGUAUGCAGGUUGAGAGUUAUGCUGAUGGUUCUGCAUCCAUUUCUGGGUUGAUUGGUGGGUGUGUCAUUUACCCAUGUCGCCUCUCCAGUGAAAAAGCGCAUAUGCAACUUGAUCUGUUCGGACCGACACAAUCCGGAUGUGACGCAGCGGAAGUAUCCUCGGAAAUGUAGUCAGAUUGUAGUUUCGAAAAUGCUUUACGGCACAGACACACACCCAAACAUGGCACCGGCUAGAUAUAAACAGCCAGUUGCGAGGCAAUUGUUGUCCGAGAUCAGCCGACUAAAAAGAGACAGAGAAACCCAAUGUCGGAGGAACAGAAGAAGAGAAAAGGGAGACAGACCGACAGAGAGGCCAGACACGAGUAAACGUUGGGCAAGCUUUUCAGGAAUAGCUCGAACUGAAAGAAAAAGAAGACUGCAAAUCAGACGCCGACUCGGCCGUGUUGCUUUUGAAAUUGAAAGUACCCGUAAUAUUCUUGAUUCUGAUAGUCUCUGUACACAUGUGUUUGCUCAACCAUUUUUUUGAGCCCUGUAAAAAUUGUUUUCUCGACCGUUUUGUUGUGAGCCCUGUUUGUUUCUAGCUUGCUUGGUUGCAACCAUAUAAACACCUUUGUUUCCAUGGGUGUUUUGCUGUUCGUCUGUCUCGUCCCCCAGAUACAGACUGAAUCCCCGAAUCCAGGUUCUUUUUUAUUUCGAUUAUUAUGUUGGCCAAACCUCUUACACUGAUUGUUCUGUUCAACCUAAGAUAAAAUAAUUAUGACCUAGGGUAUAAAUUCUCCCCGUCAACUAUAAAAAAUGAUGGAUUUAUGUUUAUUGCAAUGCAAAUACACCAUUUUAAAAAUGUAUAACCUUGCCUACACUUUAUGAACAUCUAUUUCGGACAUGGCUCCGCGCAUUCGCCGGCUUCUUUGAAAACAAAUGCACAGGGCUCGCGUAGAAGAGCAUGGGGAAGGAACGUCAACGAGUUGUUACGACAGUGUUGUGAAAUAUCUACUACGAAGCUUUAGGGGGCGCUGUGUAGAGAAAUGUGCGUGCCAAAACCAAGAAAACAGCGAAGACAUGCCCGAAGUUGCAUAGUGGGCCUUUAAGAUAAUGUUUCUAAUUGUGCUUCAGCUUCAGAUGCCGUCAAGAGGGGUCUCUGGUCGUAAUCAGUCGCAAGUCCGUCCCUGAGCAAUCA